GACGAACGCUGGCGGCGUGCUUAACACAUGCAAGUCGAACGGAAAGGCCCCUUUGGGGGUACUCGAGUGGCGAACGGGUGAGUAACACGUGAGUAACCUGCCCUUGACUUCGGGAUAACUUCAGGAAACUGGGGCUAAUACCGGAUAGGAAUCCUUGCUGCAUGGUGGGGGUUGGAAAGCUUCGGCGGUUUUGGAUGGACUCGCGGCUUAUCAGCUUGUUGGUGGGGUAGUGGCUUACCAAGGCUUUGACGGGUAGCCGGCCUGAGAGGGCGACCGGCCACAUUGGGACUGGGAUACGGCCCAGACUCCUACGGGAGGCAGCAGUGGGGAAUAUUGCACAAUGGGCGGAAGCCUGAUGCAGCAACGCGGCGUGCGGGAUGACGGCCUUCGGGUUGUAAACCGAUUUCAGCAGGGGCGAAGCUUGUGGUGACGGUACCUGCAGAAGAAGCACCGGCUAACUACGUG
rnacentral:rRNA from 1 species